CUCUUCGGAAAAACGAAAUCUGACCACCAAGUCUCCUGGAUUGGCAUUAAGUGACUUCCAGUCGUGCUGGAAAUUUUUCUCGCUUUCCUGUUUGACCGGGUGCAAACUAAGCCCAGUUCGGCCGGAUCUGGUUUUACCUAAGGGGUUGUCACUCCUUGGGUCCAUCUCUCCGUCUGCAGACUGAGGGGCCGGAGCCUGGAGACCUCGGGCCCCGCACCCACGUCCCAGGAGCGUGUGCGUGGUGGGACCUCUGCACCAGGCUGCGUGAACGGCACACCGGCCGCGGAAACUCGGAACGCCCGAGGCACCCGUGUCUUAAACCCAAGAAGGGAGGUAGUGCAACAGGCGGACAAUGCAAAACAGGGUGACGCCAAAAAUACACUUGGCUACGGAUGUGAUUCUUCCACUUAGAUCUGAGGGUGACUACUCUGACAACCUGUCAGCUGGGCCCCUGAAGUCCUUGAGCACGUGCUCACACACCCUGACUCGGGCCGGACACCGCCCCCUGUGUGGGAGGGCGACAGAGGACCCGCCGUGAUGGCGUGGUGGGUAGAAAUAUUCGUUUGACAGUGAGCCAGGCCUGCAGGGAAACGCAAAGCCGGAAAGCGGGAAAGACUGGUGGGUGGUCACCCAGCACGUCAGUGGUGGAGGCGGGACUAGAACCCGCUGGGAUUCUGGGGCGGCCCCUCUCCUGACAAGUGAUAAGCACAAGGCCUCAGCAAUCUCAGGAGCACACGUCUCCAGGCAGCAGCCAGCGUGACCCGGCGUCCCCCCUUCUGGGGCUCGCUCGUCUCGGAGCCGGGGUAGGGCGGCUACUGAAACCAUCUCAGGCUGCACGCCCGUGGGGGAAGGGCCAUCGGAAGUUCGCUUUGGAUGGUCUCACUAUGCAGUGUCAAGGUCGCAGUGCCAUGUGCAAGAUGGCGAGCGCCAGAGAGUUCUGGGCCGAAGACAAACACAGGGUCAUCCACAAUGAUGAGCAUCUACAACCCCGAGGCCCGAGGAGCCCACCAGGGCGCAGAGCAGAGCCCAGGAAGAAAGGGGGACCAAGGCGGGCCCCGGCACGCCCGCGCUGGAAGUCAAAGCGAAGACACGACAGGCAAAGGCGAGGGAAGAGGCGUGCCUGGCGAAGAGGAGGAGAACCCAGAGCACCGGGUGCCCUGGCAGCCAGGGAGGGGGGCUGGGCCGGGAACAGCAAGGCCAGGCGAGGGUGUGGUCGGCAAGAUGAGGACUGAGAACGGACCGUGGACCCAGCCACUCGGGUCAUCGGCGACCUGGAUGAGUACCAUCUGAUGGAGUCGGGGGGGGGGGGGGGCGUCACCCGAGUCUGAUUAGAGAGGGUUUCAGAAAGAAUAGGAGAGGGAUUUCGGAAGACAAACAUAUGUCCCUCCCCUGGGGCCACAAAGUGCGAAGGGAACAGAAACGGGGAAGGGGGUGUCGAGGGAAGGCUGCUGUGGUUUUUCGGGUGGGAAACGACAGCCCAUUUGCAGGCCUUUGGGGUGACCAGCCCCGAGGGAGAAAUGGACAGUGAGGGCGGGCAUGGAGCCCGGGCAGGAGUCUGGCUGGAGAGAAGAGCUGGAGUUGGUGAGAAGAGCUGGAGAUCCAACCCGGAGGUGGAGGGGCUGGUGCCUGGGGAGCCCCGUGGACGGCAGGGUCCGGGGAUUCAGACACUCAU